rnacentral:rRNA from 1 species
UACGUAGGGCGCGAGCGUUGUCCGGAUUUAUUGGGCGUAAAGAGCUCGUAGGUGGUUUGGUAAGUCGGAUGUGAAAUCUCCAGGCUCAACCUGGAGGGGUCAUUCGAUACUGCCAUGACUAGAGGUCGGUAGGGGAGUGUGGAAUUCCUGGUGGAGCGGUGAAAUGCGCAGAUAUCAGGAGGAACACCCGUAGCGAAGGCGGCACUCUGGGCCGAUUCUGACACUGAGGAGCGAAAGCGUGGGGAGCGAACAGG